GGGCGUGUGGCCUAGUGGACUAGGGUGAGGGGUUCCUAACCCCUAGAACGCGGGUUCGAAUCCCGCCACGCCCG
rnacentral:tRNA from 1 species